rnacentral:tRNA from 1 species
UGGGGCGUGGCCAAGUGGUAAGGCAGCGGGUUUUGAUCUCGUUAUUCGAAGGUUCGAAUCCUUCCGCUCCAA